ACGGAGCUUGCUCCACCGAAAGAAAAAGAGUGGCGAACGGGUGAGUAACACGUGGGUAACCUGCCCAUCAGAAGGGGAUAACACUUGGAAACAGGUGCUAAUACCGUAUAACACUAUUUUCCGCAUGGAAGAAAGUUGAAAGGCGCUUUUGCGUCACUGAUGGAUGGACCCGCGGUGCAUUAGCUAGUUGGUGAGGUAACGGCUCACCAAGGCAACGAUGCAUAGCCGACCUGAGAGGGUGAUCGGCCACACUGGGACUGAGACACGGCCCAGACUCCUACGGGAGGCAGCAGUAGGGAAUCUUCGGCAAUGGACGAAAGUCUGACCGAGCAACGCCGCGUGAGUGAAGAAGGUUUUCGGAUCGUAAAACUCUGUUGUUAGAGAAGAACAAGGAUGAGAGUAAAACGUUCAUCCCUUGACGGUAUCUAACCAGAAAGCCACGGCUAACUACGUGCCAGCAGCCGCGGUAAUACGUAGGUGGCAAGCGUUGUCCGGAUUUAUUGGGCGUAAAGCGAGCGCAGGCGGUUUCUUAAGUCUGAUGUGAAAGCCCCCGGCUCAACCGGGGAGGGUCAUUGGAAACUGGGAGACUUGAGUGCAGAAGAGGAGAGUGGAAUUCCAUGUGUAGCGGUGAAAUGCGUAGAUAUAUGGAGGAACACCAGUGGCGAAGGCGGCUCUCUGGUCUGUAACUGACGCUGAGGCUCGAAAGCGUGGGGAGCGAACAGGAUUAGA
rnacentral:rRNA from 1 species